CUAUGUGUUCUUGAAGGUAUUUGUAUCCCGAUUACAUAGAUGUUAGAUAUAAGAACCCGGAAGCGGAUGCAUAUCAUGUUUUUAUGUAUAUGUCCAAUCAUAGUGUCUUGGCACCUGUAACAAACGCUCCAAGUCGUUAUAAGAAGACCUACUUUCAUUUGGUUUGUUCUGAAACCUCUAGAAGAUGAAACAUACCUCUC
rnacentral:lncRNA from 1 species